rnacentral:misc_RNA from 1 species
UUAGAUGCGCAGUGCAUAUUAAUAUGCUAGAAAACAUUAAAUCGAGAAAAGAGAAUUUAAUAUUAGAAGGAAUAAUUAGUGCCAUAAAUAUACAUCGACAAGCUUUGAAAUUAUCCAAACUUUUGAUGUUUAAACUUGAGACAAUGAUGUUCUGCUUAAUAGUAUUCCAUGUGAUUUCUUUGAGUCUUAAUCUCUUUCAAGUUUCUCAUGUUUCAUUCGGAUAUGAUAUAAAAGAGUUGUUAAUUC